rnacentral:rRNA from 1 species
CGCCCUCUUCGGAGGGAGCGGCGGACGGGUUAGUAACGCGUGGGAACGUGCCUCUCCCUACGGAACAGCCCAGGGAAACUUGGAUUAAUACCGUAUACGCCCCUGAGGGUCAAACCUUGGGGGGAAAGAUUUAUCGGAGAGAGAUCGGCCCGCGUUGGAUUAGGUAGUUGGUGGGGUAAUGGCCUACCAAGCCUACGAUCCAUAGCUGGUUUGAGAGGAUGAUCAGCAACACUGGGACUGAGACACGGCCCAG